AUACGUAGGUGGCAAGCGUUGUCCGGAAUUACUGGGCGUAAAGGAUGCGUAGGCGGAUAUGUAAGUCAGAUGUGAAAUACCCGGGCUCAACUUGGGUGCUGCAUUUGAAACUGCAUGUCUAGAGUGCGGGAGAGGAAAGUGGAAUUCCUAGUGUAGGAGUGAAAUCCGUAGAGAUCUGGAGGAACACCAGUGGCGAAGGCGACUACCUGGACCGAUACUGACACUGAGGAGCGAAAGCGUGGGGAGC
rnacentral:rRNA from 1 species